UAUAGUUAAAAAAAUGUAAAGUUAUGAAUUAUAAACCCUAACUGUUUCCGCUUUCGUGUUUAAUUUCUUAUCCUCUUCCUAUACCACUUACCAACAUCUAAUAUAUUAAAAGUGAAGUACAAAUGGGAAAUUACCCUUAAUUCUUCACAUUAUUUACAAUCAAAUGCCACUUGUUUUAUUUCAACUAAUUUUCACAUGCCUCAUUUUUGCAAAGCCUAUUCCGUUUUUUACAACAUUUUACUGGGUUUCUAUUUGCUUUUAUUUACAUAUAAGUGGACCUAUUACUAUUUUAUUUCUAACCAUUUCUAACCAUCUAAGCAUUUCUAACCAUCUCCACUUUCUAACCAAAACUUAAUAUACACAUUAAAUGCCUUAAAACGAAUUUGAAACAAGAGUUUGUAUAAUCCACUACUAAAUUCACAAAUGAAUAACAUAAAAACCAAAAGUAAUAUAUGUCAAUAAUUUUAUACCAAUUAAAACUAUUCGAUUUUUUGCUCUAUUCACUUCCAAUUAAAACUAUUCGGUUUGCCUAUUUCUUUAAAUGUUGAUAUUAUAGAAUAACGUUACUCCAUAUUUAUAUAAAACUAGAUAUGAGCCCAUGCGUUGCAACGGGUUUUGUUUGAUGUUUUAGUUUAAUAAAUAAAUAAAAGUAAUAAAUAAUUUUAUUAUAUUUUUAGGAUUGUUUUUGCAUAUAUUGUGUGAGACUUAUUUUAUAAUUAAAAACUCGUUUUUAUACAUAAAUCCCAGUUAAUAUUAAUAUUUUAUAAUCAUGUGCAUAGGUGAAUUUUUAUCAAAUUUCUACUUAGUGCUAGAAAAAACACUCAUACAUAUUAAUUUAAACCCAACCCAACCCGAAUUAAGAAUUAUAAUGAAAAAAAUUGAAAGUUAAAUAAGGUCAAUCGAGUCAUUGACAACAUCAUACACUUUCUUAUGUAAUAAUUUAAUAUUUUAUUAAAUUUAUCCGAUGCUUAAUAAUUUUCUUAAUUUAUUAUUUCUAAAUGAUAUAUUUCUAUAACAACAUUUUAAUUAAAAAUGAAGUAAAAAAUAUUACAUAGUAAAGACAAAAAAUGUAAUAAGAUGGCGAUGAAACUUGAUUUUUUUUGACAAAAUGCAUAUAAAAAUCACUUCGAUGACAAUAAUAAAUAUAAUCUAUUUCUUAUGACCACACAUGAAAAUAUAUAUCACACAUGUGUAUGAUUUUCGUAUGAUAAAACACAUAUAAAUAGAAUCAUGAUGACAGCCUAAUUUUUCAUUUUUGUUAAUUAAAUAGUUUUAACAUCAUACUUGUCAUCGAAUUCUUUUUUCAUUUAUUAUUAAAUAAUUUUAAAUUUUAUUUUUGUUUUUUUAAAGGGCCCAUUUUUCAUUUACAAUCAAUAUAUAUAUACCAAAUACUCUUUUAUACUUUUCUAGGAUUUUAAGAAAUAGAAAUUAGUAUCAUAUAACCUUUUACAAUUAUCUUCUCUUUUAAAUAUUAGAAAAAGUAAAUUGUUAUCAAAUAAUUAUUUCUAGUUACUAUUAAAUAAGGUUAAAAAAAUACUAUUUGCACAAUUCGAAUCUAAACUAAUUUUAAACAAAUGGAGUAAUUUUCAGUAUAAUGGUCAUCAUCAAAUUAUCUCUUAAAAACAUUACCAAAUAAGUUUUUACAAUUUUAUUUUGGUUAGAACUUAAACAUAUGAUAAAAUCUCUUUUGUUUGUGAUUUUUUAAAAAUAUAUCAAAUAUUCUCUUAAAUUGUUUUAGGGUUUUAAAAAAGGAAAUUAAUAUUAAAUAAUAUUUUGAAAUCUAAUUUUGUUUAGGAUUUAGAAAAAUAAAAUUAAUAUCAAAUAAUUGUUUCCAGUUAAUAUUAGCUAUUUUUAGAAGUUUCUAUUUUCAAAAUUCGUUUUUUCAAUAUCACACAUGUUUUAAGGAUUUUUACAAUUAUCUUUUGUAUGGAUUUAAAAAAAAAAAAUCUUAUUUGGUCAAGAUUAAAAAAGGAAAAAAUUAUUUUCCAAAUCUAUUUUAUUUAGGAUUCUAGGAAACAAAAGUUAGUUUCACAUAAUGGCUUGUUUUUAUUGACACAUUAACAAUAUAAUUUUUUUUAUUGGCACAUGUAACAAUCAUAUCGAGUGAAAAAUAUUUCAAGUUAUUUCGGUUUAUAAUUUCUUAAACACAAAAUUACCUAUGAAAAAGGAAAGUUAGUUAUUUAUUAGAAAUUGAAUAUUGCUUGUACAAUUUUAUUUUAUUUAGACUUUUAAAAAGGAAACUUACUUAUUUUAUAAUUAUUUUAUUUAAUAUUUUUCACUAAAAGUUUUCUUGUAUUGGUAGGAUUAUAAUUCCUUUUUGUUUAAAUAUUUUAUAAAUUAAUUUAUUUUUAAUUAAAUUUCCUGUUUAACGAAUUUUAUAUUUUGUCUUAUACGUACAAACACAUAUUUUCAUAUUUUUCAUAUUCACACAUACUCAUAUACGGUAACACAUCAUAAUUGAAAAAAAAAUUGCGUUAGCAUCAUAAAAUGUAACAAGAUUAUAAGAAAAUUUGAGUUGUAUCAAGAAAUUAAAAGAAAAUUUGUAGGUAAUAUUUUUUCGUAAAUAAUAUUUUGUUUUUUGAAAAUAAUAUGUGGAAGCUAAAACCUAAAUAUAGUUGUGAAAUAUUUGUAGCUAUUUUUCGGUUUAUAAAUUAUUAACAUACAAUUAUCUAUAAAAAGGAAAGUUUGUUAUUUAUAGUAAACUAAUAGUAAUACUUUUAGAAUUUUCUUUUGUUUAGGCUUUUAAAAAAUAAAUAUUACUUAUUUUAUAGUUAGUUUUACUUUAUGAUUUUUGUUAAAUAAUUUCUUGUACUUGUAGUAUUUUAUAAUUAGUUUUUUUUCUAGAUUUGUUUAAGUUAAUAUUCUUCUUUUACAAUUUUAUUUCUUUAUUAUCUUUAAAAACGAAAUUUAGUUUUUUUAAAACGAAAAAAAAUUACUUUCAAAUAAAUUUUUAUAAUUAUUUACUUUUUUAGGAUUAAAAAAAAUAACAUAUUACUAUCCAAUAAUUUUAACAAUAUAUAAUUGUAAAAGACUAUGUAAUAGCAAUAUAAUAGUAAUACUUUUACAAUUUUCUUUUGUUUAGGCUUUUAAAAAGGAAAUAUUACUGAUUUUAUAGUUAGUUUUACUUUUUGAUUUUUAUUAAAUAAUAUCUUGUAUUUGUAGGAUUUUAUAAAAAAAAUAGAUUUUUUAGUUAAUAUUUUUCUCUUACAAUUUUCUUUCUUUAUUAUCUUUAAAAACGAAAAUUAUAUAUUUUUUAACAAAAAAAAUAUUUUCAAAUAACUUUUAACAAUUAUUUACUUUUUAGGAUUUAAAAAAAUAAAAAUUACUAUCCAAUAAUUUUAACAAUAUAUAAUUGUAAAAAACUAUGUAAUAGUAAUUGCUCUUUUCCAAAGUCUUAAAAAGAAUUGUAAAACAGAUAUUUUUGUAAUAAUAACUUUUAUUUUCUAAAUCUCUUUUAAUCCUAAGAAAAGAGAUCAUAUAUUUGAAACAUGUCGCAAUCUUAAAAAAUUAUUGACACAUGUCGUGAUCAUGUUAAUUAGCAACUUUGAAAAACCAAGCUUUAUAUAAUAAGAUCUUUGAUUUAAACACAUCUGAUAAUAUCAAGAUUUAAAACUGUUAUUACCUAUCAACUAACUAUUCCAUAAAUCUUGAAAUAUCUUAAUUACUUUACAUAAUAUGCCAAAAUCCUUAAUAAUCACGAAUUUAUAGACUGUUGCGUGAUUUCCAAAUCAAAUAUUCUACUGAUUUUAUUGGCAAUAGUUAUCUCCUACAUUAAAGCUUACAUAUAAAACUUAAUAAAUAUCUCAAUACUUGCUAAUCACGAUUUCAUAUAUUUGCUUGAUUACAAAACAAUUAACUAAAUCGAUCAAACCAUAUCUCACUUACCUACAAAAUCAAAAAAUUAAACACGAAAAUCUUUUGAAAAUAUUCGAUACAUUUAUCGUAUUCCUUAUCUACACACGACUUGCUAACCAAGUUUUAUAAUUACUAAUUAAAAAUUACUUAUCAUCCAUAUCUCACCUACUUAUCUAUAUAUAUACUUCAUUCUACUUUAAAGAAUACCAUUCACAUUCACAUUGCAAUCAAACCCAAAGCAAAAAAAAAUGAUGAUCAAUGCGAACGUCAACCGUGUCAAAGACUUGAAGCCAUACAAGACAAAAUGGCGAUCACAACUCAAAUUGCUACAUUCCUGGCAACUAAACACUUCAUUCGGUGGAUAGACUCUUCAGUGGUUCUAACUGAUGAACAUGUAAAUUUCAAGUCGCAUCAUCAUUUCUGUCUAUCACUAAAUCACAUUAUCUUGUGCUUAUUUUGUAGGGUGAAAGGAUUCAUGCUAUGUGCAAAAGAAACCAAAUGAAAAGUGUUCAACGUAAACUUCCUCUAGGGAAAUGGCAUUUUCUAACUUUGUUUUCUCUCUCACAAGCAUCAGGCCAAUAUCGGCCAACGAGUCAUCCAUACAAGAUGACGAUCGAUGAUGAAACUGUUAUAACAAAUUCCGAUCUAAUUCAAGAUAGCAUCUUUUUAUCUCUUGCCAGCUUCGAAGACAUCAUCAAUGGGAGCUUAAAGCCCCACUUCCUUAUUGGUAAUACCUAUAUGCCCAUGUUUCUGAAAACUAUGUUGUAGUUUUGAAUGUCAAUCUGUAUACUAAUGGUUUUUUUUUCUUAAAGAUGUGAUGGGAAAAAUCGUAAGCCUUGAACCAGUUAAAACCGUGCAAGUGAAAUUACAUGACCGGAAGGUAGUUCAAUUUCGUUUGGUUGACUCAAGGUAAGUUUUGUUUUAAUUGUUUUUGUCUUUGAACACACAAUAUUUUAAUUUACUUUUACUAAUAGCUUUGUCUACUUUAGUGGUAAGGAACUUGCAUGUUGUUUGUGGAGGAAAUAUGCUUAGCAAUUGGAGGUUUAUGUUGAACGUUUACAACCACUGGUCUGUUUGAUCAUGUUCGCCAAAAUUGGUUUCUACAGAGGUACUUUUAUAAACGCCUAUUCAGACUAUAUCCAAACUUAUAUUGAAAAUCUUUAUGUGCUCAAUUCUAUCUAAAUUUAUAUAGGUGAGGUCCAAAUAACAAAUGCAUUUGAUGCAUCCAUUGUUUAUCUUGAUCCAACGAUGGAAGAGGCAUUCCAGUUCAUGGAAAAGUAAGUGUUUUGAUUAUCUAAACAAGUCUUUGAUUAUAUUAAUAGUUACUUUUAUAUUUAUAUUGUCUACAUAUAUAUUGUAUAUAUGAAAUUUACGUAUAGGCUGAUGGAAGACGAACUCCCUCUUGCUUUUAUUGAGAAACAAAAUGGUAAAAGAGAGGUUGUUUUACAAGAAGAUGAUUGGAACGACUUGGAUAUCAAGAUGAUUUUUGAACUCUUUGUUGCAGAUCAGGUAAUAUCAUAAAGUAGAUAUUGUAUUAGUAAAGUUUUCAAUUAGUAUUUUCGUUUCUAAAUAUAACAUGAUUAGAAAUAAUUAUAUCUAAAUGUGUGAAUAAAUGAUUGCAGGAAUUUAACUGCAAAAUCAUUUGUUCAAUUGAAUCUGUUAACACUGAUUGGCAUGGUUCUAUUUUGGACAUACAACUUGCAAAUAUCGUGCUACCAAAAUUGGUAAGAUUAUUCCUUCAAAGUCAAACUAUGAUGAGAAACAAUUUUGGCGUUGUGGUAAAUGUCAAUUUAAUAUCACUGAAGUGAUACAUGUGUAAGAACUUACUUUCUUAUUUCAAUUCCUUAUUUCAUUUUUCUUAAAAUUUUAGGACCACUCUAAUAUAUUUCCCUAUACUCUAAUAGAUUCAAGCUUCAUUUGAUUGUGAGAAAUGACACAUAAACAUGUAACUUGAUGUUGCUUAACACUGUUGCUAAUACCAUUGUUGGACAUGAUGCUGUUGAUCUGUGGGAUGGCACCUAUGAUGAGGUAAUUUUCGGUUGUAGAAAUGAAAAUAUGUGUUUUCAAUAUGCGUAAACCUGAUUUACUUAAAACUCAUCACAGAUUGAAGAUCCAGAGCUCCUACCAUAACCUAUCAAAGAGAUAGUUGGGAAGUAUUUUUGUUUUGGCAUUUUUGUAGGAUCUGACAAUGUGACAAAUGGGGCAUACACAUUCAAAAUUCUCGAGGUCUGGUCUGGAGAUAAAUUUUUAGAAAAAGAAUCCCAGUCCGAGCCAAUCUCAAUGAUGGCACAUCAUCUUCUUCCAUGUCCUCUAGAAGUGUGCUCAUGUUGGAAGGUACCAGUCAGAAUGAAUCAGAAGAAUGCAAAACACCUUUCCCAAAACGCAAAGAGGAAGAUGCUGAUCUCCCAUACAUAAGUUCGACAUCAAAAAAGUUAUGCAGCGCCAUCAAAGUGGAAAAGAAGAAGGAAGAGUAACUCUGCAGAUUUCAAUUUGCUUUUAUUUUUAAGUUGUUUUUCUAUUUUUGUCUCUUGGUUUAAGCUUUCUUUUAUUUUCAGAAACAAUAAUGUGUUUUUCUAUUUGAUGUUCUAUUUAUUUGGAUGAUUUGAAUAAUAUGGAUUAUUUGAACCAUAUUUAUACUUUCUCAAUGAAUAAUGCGUUUUUCUAUUUUUUAGUUUUACUUAUUUGGAUUAUUUGAAUAAGAUGUGAUCGGUUGAAAAUAUUUAUACUUUCUCAAAGAAUAAAUGAUUUAUAAAUUGUAUUUUCGUAUUUAUUGAUUAAGUUAAACACAAUAUAUUGAUUUAAAAUACAUGGACUCUAUUAUUUUCUUGACACUUACAUCAAGUUUCACUAUCACUUUAACAAAACAGUUUCCCAUUCAGUCCUAGCAGUGUCUAAUAUCUAUAUAUAGUAUGAUAAAAAGACAUACCGUAUGGUCCAAUGCAAUCUUAUGAUACAAGAAAAUCUGGUUGGUCAAAAUUCCUUGGUCCUUUUGUGAUGUUGGCCUGUUUAUAAAAACAUAAACAUGUUUAUUUGUUAAGUAUGAUCUACCACAACAAAUUUUGAAUCUAAAAAUUAAAAAAAAAAAAUUAAUUCUUAGAUGUACAACAACCCUAAACGUUUUAUAAAAAAAAAUUC